rnacentral:rRNA from 1 species
UACGUAGGGCGCAAGCGUUGUCCGGAAUUAUUGGGCGUAAAGAGCUCGUAGCGGUCUGUUACGUCCGCUGUGAAAACCCAGGGCUUAACCCUGGGCUUGCAGUGGAUACGGGUAGACUAGAGGCAGGUAGGGGAGAAUGGAAUUCCCGGUGUAGCGGUGAAAUGCGCAGAUAUCGGGAGGAACACCAGUGGCGAAGGCGGCGCUCUGGGCCGGAACUGACGCUGAGGAGCGAAAGCGUGGGUAGCAAACAGG